AUCCUCUAGCCUCAGCCUUCUGAGGAGCUGGGACUACAGACACGCGCCACCAUGCCCGGCUAAUUAAAAAAUUUUUUUUUUGUUGAGAAGGGGUCUCACUAUGUUGCCUAGGCUGGUCUUGAGCUCCUGUCCUCAAGGGAUCCGUCUGCCUCAGCCUCUCAAAGUGCUGAGAUUACAGGCAUGAGCCACCAUACUCAGCCAUAGUUUCCUAAUCCAUCAUUGCUUUUUUGAUAUCCUGGACUCACUCCAUUGUGGACAGCACCCCACUUUAUGUUUUUUUCUCUCAAAUGGGAGCUUUCUUGAUGGAAACCUGUAGUCCAGAAACCUAUUAAGUUUGCUUUCCCCGGUUUUCCGUUGUUUUCUUUUAGGCAUCUGGGAACAAAGUCAGUCGCCAGUCAGUGUUGUGUGGAAGCCAGAACAUCGUUCUCAAUGGCAAGACCAUUGUGAUGAAUGACUGUAUUAUCCGAGGGGAUCUGGCAAAUGUAAGAGUUGGACGUCAUUGUGUUGUGAAAAGUCGUAGUGUCAUAAGGCCACCAUUCAAGAAGUUCAGCAAAGGUGUUGCAUUCUUUCCUUUACAUAUUGGAGACCAUGUCUUUAUUGAGGAAGAUUGUGUGGUCAACGCAGCACAGAUUGGUUCCUAUGUUCAUGUUGGGAAGAACUGUGUGAUUGGGCGCCGAUGUGUGUUGAAAGACUGCUGCAAAAUUCUUGACAACACAGUAUUACCUCCAGAAACUGUGGUUCCAC
rnacentral:lncRNA from 10 species